UACAGAGGUCCCGAGCGUUGUUCGGAUUCACUGGGCGUAAAGGGUGCGUAGGUGGUUAGGUAAGUCCGAUGUGAAAUCUCCAGGCUCAACCUGGAAAUGGCAUUGGAUACUAUUUAGCUUGAGGAGUGGAGGGGGGACUGGAAUUCUCGGUGUAGCAGUGAAAUGCGUAGAUAUCGAGAGGAACACCAGUGGCGAAGGCGAGUCCCUGGACACUUCCUGACACUGAGGCACGAAAGCUAGGGGAGCGAACAGG
rnacentral:rRNA from 1 species